rnacentral:lncRNA from 1 species
GGGCCUUGACCUUGGAUGACAACAGUAACAUGGAUUCAGGGAAGCAGAUAAUUUGUGAGUCAUCCAAAGGGUAAAUAUUUCUUUUUUUAUAAUGCAAUAUGAUGUUUUCUAAUAAUAGGGUUUCAAGUUACCCUUUCAUGCCGUUUGACUGUACACGUCAAUUACAUAUAGCACCAAGACAUAUACAAACAUAUAUACUAGAACAAUUAUUCAUCAACUUCUUUAAACUAUAUAAAAAAUAUUCUUGCAAAUUAAUUUAAAUAUACCAAAGCAAUCUAUAUACACAUUAUUACUGCAACUGCAAUUAUGUAUUUACUAAAAAGGAAUCAAGCG